CGGAGGGAAGCCACAGGAGACCGGAGAGACCAAGGAGGAAUGGAGAAACCACAGAGGACUGGCGAUGACUCGGGGGACUGGAGAACACUCGGGAAACUGGAGAGACCACGGGGAACUGGAGAGACACAGGAAUAGUCUAGUGCAUGGAGUCCUAUCCACAAACGAGGUAUUUGAGAUCUCCUGAUGUGCCUGGGACCUCGGAUUCUGGAUUGUGUCCUUGAAGAAAAAGAUGGUCACUGAUGAACGUCAUCAUCCCUCAUUCCCGAGGAGGAAAACAUCUCUUCCUUCACUCCCUCAUUUGAUGGCAGCAUUGUGGUAGGACUGUGUCACAGGCCCCACAUUCCCUUUGCUUUUAUUAUCGGGCACACCCAGAACUGAUUACAAUUACUGAUCUCGGAAUGGAUCUGCUUACAUCUGCAAGAUAUCAACAUAGGAACUGUUCAAACUUUGUCAUGCUUAAGGAACACUUACUUUAAAAGGAGAUUAAGGACAUUGAAAAGUUGUUUAUCAAGAAGUUGAAGUGGUCCAAGUUUUUUUUAUUGUUAUAAUUAUGUUCUAAAUACUUGAAUAUUGUGUAUGAAUAUGGUUUAUGAUUAAUUGAGUGUGCUAAAAAUGGUAUUCUAUUGUUUAUUGAGAGGUAGUAAUGCUAAAAAGCUGGGACAUAAUAGGUGAUUUCCAGGCAAUAUCAUUUGUUUACUCAUGCAUGUAAUAACAUUGAGCUUUCCUUAUUGAGCUUUUCACAAAUUAGAUGUUUAAAUACACAUUCUUAUGAUGGCAGAGUCCUGUACAUUACAGUUUUUUCCAAUUGCUAACACACUAAAAUGACAUGCACAGCACAAUUAUUUAAACUGACACACAGAGAGCAAAACUUCUUCUCAAGUCUCCAAAAGUCUAAACACCUUUUCUGCUUUACACACAUUUUGCAUUUCAAAAUGGCACUUUUUAAAUGCACUGAACACAGUUCUCUGCAUAAGACACAACAAUCUGACAUAAAGUCACAUGUUUGCCAUUUCAAAACACUGCCAUUCAAAAUGACACUACAUGAGCUAAUUGGCCAAUUACAUGUGCCACCUGGCCAAACACCUCAAUGGUUAAUUGUUAACACUUCAAUCAGGAUGUAAGCACUAUGAAAAGACCACAGGUGAGAACCUUUUUUUUUUUACAACAACAAUGGAAGACAUUGCAGAGAGAGGAAGAGGAAGAGGAAGAGGGAGGUUGAGAAUAAGAGGGGGAGGAAGAGUGAAAGGUAGGGGUAGAGCAGGUAGAGGAGUUCACGGCCAAAGAAGACAAACACUUUCAAAUGAAAUCAGAGCAACCUUAGUAGAUCAUGUCAUCAACCAUAGGCUGACAAUGCGUGAGGCUGGACAGAGAGUGCAGCCAAACUUGAGCCGUUUUACUGUCACCUCUGUCAUCCGGACCUUUAGACUGGAGAACAGGUAUGUAACUAAAAUUUCAUGUAGUACACAUGUAGUAUACCCCAUGUCAUAGUGUAUCAGUUGGGUGACACCUGUUUACUUAGUGUAUGACAUCAGCCAUUCAUGAACUGUACAAGUUUCCUGUACAAUGUACUCUACUGUGGGGGAAAAUAUUUAGGCUGCAUUGUCCAAGCCCUAUAUAUAUUUUUAUUUUAUUUUUUCUAAAGGACUGAGAGAUGACACCAUGGUGGAGGAAGGGGCCAAAUGUUCACCGGGGUACAGGAAGGUGCCAUUGUAAACUUGGUUUUGGAAAAUAAUGAAAUCAGAUUACGAGAAAUCCACAUCAUCCAAGACAACACCUUAUUCAACAACAUUCAACAAGUUAGUCUGUCCACAUUGGCUCGCAUUCUCAAGUGAAACCAAAUCAGAAUGAAACAACUUUAUAAGGUGCCGUUUGAGAGAAACUCUCAAAGAAACAAAGAGUUCAGACGAGCAUAUGUGGAUGGAGUACUGGAAAUGGACUCUCAUGCAAUCCCACAUGAGUUCAUCUUUAUAGAUGAGGCUGGGUUCAACCUAACAAAGACCAGAAGAAGGGGAGAAACUUCAUUGGCCACAGAGCCAUUAUAGAUGUUCCUGGCCAACGUGGUGGGAACAUCACAAUGUGCGCUGCCAUCUCCAAUAUGCAUGGUGUCCUCCACAGUCAUGCCAACCUUGGACCAUACAACACAGCCCAUAUUCUCACAUUUCUGGACAGACUUCACAACAUUCUCAUACCACCAGAGCGUAUGAAUGAUGCAGACCAUCAAAGAAACCGGAACGUUGUAGUAUGGGACAACGUGAGCUUUCAUCGUGCAGCCCCAGUCCAAAACUGGUUUGCUGACCACCCAACAUUUCUCGUGCAAUACCUCCCACCAUACUCACCAUUUCUGAACCCCAUAGAAGAAUUCUUUUCGGCAUGGCGGUGGAAGGUAUACGACCGGCAGCCCUUUGUGCGCAUGUGUCUUGUGUAGGCCAUGGAAGAGGCAUGUGAUGAGAUUGAUGUGGGUGCAAUUCAGGGAUGGGUAAGGCACUCAAGGCGCUUUUUCCUCGA